AUUGAACGCUGGCGGCAUGCCUAACACAUGCAAGUCGAGCGGAGCGUCGCACGAGUGAUUAAUGCCUAGGAAUCUGCACGGUGGUGAGCUAUAACGUCCAGAAACGGGCGCUAAUACCGCAUACUAGCAGAUGAGCCUAGGUCGGAUUAGCUAGUUGGUGGGGUAAAGGCCUAACAAGGCGACGAUCCGUAACUGGUCUGAGAGGAUGAUCAGUCAAACUGGAACUGAGACACGGUCCAGACUCCUACGGGAGGAAGCAGUGGGGAAUAGUGGACAAUGGGCGAAAGCCUGAUCCAGACAUGCCGCGUGGGUGAAGAAGGUCUUCGGAUUGUAAAGCACUUUAAGUGGGGAGGCGGUACCAACAGAAUAAGCACCGGCUAACUUCGUGCCAGCAGCCGCGGUAAUAC
rnacentral:rRNA from 1 species